AGGGUUCGAUUCCGGANAGGGANCCUGANAAACGGCUACCACAUCUAAGGAAGGCAGCAGGCGCGCAAAUUACCCAAUCCUAAUACAGGGAGGUAGUGACAAGAAAUAACAAUACAGGACUUUUUGGUUUUGUAAUUGGAAUGAGUUAAGUAUAAACCCCUUUACAAGUAUCAAUUGGAGGGCAAGUCUGNUGCCAGCAGCCGCGGUAAUUCCAGCUCCAAUAGCG
rnacentral:rRNA from 1 species